rnacentral:rRNA from 1 species
GACGAACGCUGGCGGCGUGCUUAACACAUGCAAGUCGAACGGAAAGGCCCUGCUUUUGUGGGGUGCUCGAGUGGCGAACGGGUGAGUAACACGUGAGUAACCUGCCCUUGACUUUGGGAUAACUUCAGGAAACUGGGGCUAAUACCGGAUAGGAGCUCCUGCUGCAUGGUGGGGGUUGGAAAGUUUCGGCGGUUGGGGAUGGACUCGCGGCUUAUCAGCUUGUUGGUGGGGUAGUGGCUUACCAAGGCUUUGACGGGUAGCCGGCCUGAGAGGGUGACCGGCCACAUUGGGACUGAGAUACGGCCCAGACUCCUACGGGAGGCAGCAGUGGGGAAUAUUGAACAAUGGGCGGAAGCCUGAUGCAGCAACGCCGCGUGCGGGAUGACGGCCUUCGGGUUGUAAACCGCUUUCGCCUGUGACGAAGCGUGAGUGACGGUAAUGGGUGAAGAAGCACCGGCUAACUACGUG